rnacentral:rRNA from 1 species
UACAGAGGGUGCAAGCGUUAAUCGGAAUUACUGGGCGUAAAGCGUGCGUAGACGGUUGCGUAAGUCAGAUGUGAAAGCCCCGGGCUCAACCUGGGAAUUGCAUUUGAGACUGCGUAGCUAGGGUGCGGAAGAGGGAAGCGGAAUUUCCGGUGUAGCGGUGAAAUGCGUAGAUAUCGGAAGGAACACCAGUGGCGAAAGCGGCUUCCUGGUCCAGCACCGACGUUCAGGCACGAAAGCUAGGGGAGCAAACAGG